AUGGCAGCGAGCAUGGUGGGAGCGGCGGAGGGGAAGCUGGCGCUGGGAGACAUGAGGGUGCUCAAGCCAUUGGGCCACCUGCUGGUCGGGCUGGUGCUGUACUGGGUGGCCGAGGAGAUGACGGUGCCUGUGCUGGUCGACGUCACCACCGCCGCCCUCUGCCCUGGCGACGGUAGCACCUCCUGCCCGGAGGCCAUCUACCUCACCGGCCUCCACCAAACGGUUGGAGGCAUUUUCAGGGCGGUGGGAUUCACUCUGAUGGGGCAGCUGGCCGACGAGUAUGGCAGGAAGCCUCUCCUCAUCCUCGCCGCCGGCACCUCCAUCAUCCCUUACAGUGUGCUUGCUCUGAGCAGCACCAAGGUCGCCGUGUAUGUCUACCUUGUCACACGCACUCUCUCAUUCAUGAUCGGCCAAGGAACCAUAACCUGCCUCGCAUUGGCGUACACGGCGGAUUUGGUAGAACCGUCCAAGAGGGCCUUCGCGUUUGGCUGCAUGACCGGGAUCCUGUCGGCUUCGCACUCCCUGGGGAACGUCUUCUCCAGGUUUCUGCCCGAGCAGUGGAUUUUUCAGGUCUCGGUUCUUCUGCUGGUCUGUUCCGUGGUCUACAUGAAGAUUUGUCUGGUUGAGACGCUUCAGAAAGCUCCCUCUGCUUCGUGUCAGCGUUUGUCCUUGUCGUCUUUGGUUCUCGGUUUGCCGCAGCAGCGUUGGGAGUCUAUCAAGGACAACAUUAGCAUGAUCAAAAUCAACAACACACUUAAGCGAAUCACAUACAUUUCCUUCUUCUACGAGUUAGGCAUGAUUGGCAUCAGCGAUGUUCUACUGUAUUACCUGAAGCUGGUAUUUGGAUUUGACAAGAAUCAGUUCUCCGAAAUUCUAAUGGUGGUUGGAAUUGGUUCAAUCUUUUCUCAGAUACUGAUACUCCCAGGUGCUAUCCAUGCAAUUGGCGAGAAGGGAGUCCUGUGCAUUUCAAUAUUUGCAUCUGUUGCUUAUGCUAUGCUGUACGGCUUGGCCUGGAGUUGGUGGGUUUUUUUUUGGAAAAGGGGGACUCCCCGGCCUCUGCAUCAGGAGUGA
rnacentral:rRNA from 1 species